rnacentral:tRNA from 1 species
UUAAUUGAAACCAAAUAGAGGUCUAUCACUGUUAAUGAUAAAAUUGAGUUUAAAAAAUCCAAUUAAA